AUACUUACCUGGACGGGGUCAAUGGGCGAUCAAGAAGGCUCAUGGCCUGGAUUGGUGGCCUCCAUUGCACUUUGGAGGGGUGCCCGUCUAUGGUCUCACCAAGUGUGGGAGCCAACGUCAUAAUUUGUGGUAGUGGGGGCCAGCGUUCGCGCGGCCCCUG